CAUGGCAAAAUCAACAAAUACUACAUCAUCCCUCUGAGGAUUCAGCUGUGGAAAAAGCAUCUGCUAGCUCAUCUCUAGGGGAAAUCCAGGUGAGAGAAGCCCUACCCUGGAGCAUCUCCGGAAAACUCAUACAAACCAACAAGAGAGGCAACUUGGUAUAUCUGUCAAGGCCAAAGAACUCUGAUACUAGCUCUUCACACCACUACCAGGCAAAGAACUCUGAUACUAGCUCUUCACACCACUACCAGGCAAAGAACGCCUAGGAGUAAUGAAGAGCAUCCUCCCUUGACUGUCAACAGAGGCCAAGUGGGACCUGAACUUCUACCCUCACCUGGCAGUAAUGAAGCAGUGUCUACCGCUCCGUCCCCAGCAAGAGCAGUGUCAGAGGAAGCCAGCUAAAACAGAAGGUUGAAAUAAGAUCCAAAGUCUCAAAACAUAUAUUCCAAAUAUCCAGGUUUCAAUAAAAAUUACUUGUCAUACCAACUGUAUUAGGUCCCUAGGACUGCCAUAACAAAGAAUCACAAAUUCGAUAGCUUAAACAACAGAAAUUUAUUCACUCACAGUUCUGGAAGCUAGAAGCCAGAAAUCAGGAUGUCAGCAAGAACAUGUUCCCUCUGAAGUCUCCAGCGAAGAAUCCUUCCUUGCCCUUUUCUAGUUUCUGAUGGCCC